AGUGAACGCUGGCGGCAGGCCUAACACAUGCAAGUCGAGCGGCAGCGCGGGGGCAACCCUGGCGGCGAGCGGCGGACGGGUGAGGAAUUCGUCGGAAUCUGCCUUUUUGUGGGGGAUAACGUAGGGAAACUUACGCUAAUACCGCAUACGUCCUGCGGGAGAAAGUGGGGGACCGCAAGGCCUCACGCAGAAAGAUGAGCCGACGACCGAUUAGCUAGUUGGUGGGGUAAAGGCCCACCAAGGCGACGAUCGGUAGCUGGUCUGAGAGGAUGAUCAGCCACACUGGGACUGAGACACGGCCCAGACUCCUACGGGAGGCAGCAGUGGGGAAUAUUGGACAAUGGGCGCAAGCCUGAUCCAGCCAUGCCGCGUGUGUGAAGAAGGCCUUCGGGUUGUAAAGCACUUUUGUCCGGAAAGAAAUCCCUGGAGCUAAUACCUUCGGGGGAUGACGGUACCGGAAGAAUAAGCACCGGCUAACUUCG
rnacentral:rRNA from 1 species